GAUGAGCGCUGGCUACAGGCUUAACACAUGCAAGUCGAGGGGAAACGACGGGGAAGCUUGCUUCCCCGGGCGUCGACCGGCGCACGGGUGAGUAACGCGUAUCCAACCUGCCUCUGACUGAGGGAUAACCCGUCGAAAGUCGGCCUAAUACCUCAUGGCAUCGUCCGCGGGCAUCCAACGACGAUUAAAGAUUUCAUCGGUCAGGGAUGGGGAUGCGUCUGAUUAGCUUGUUGGCGGGGUAACGGCCCACCAAGGCUACGAUCAGUAGGGGUUCUGAGAGGAAGGUCCCCCACAUUGGAACUGAGACACGGUCCAAACUCCUACGGGAGGCAGCAGUGAGGAAUAUUGGUCAAUGGGCGAGAGCCUGAACCAGCCAAGUAGCGUGCAGGAUGACGGCCCUAUGGGUUGUAAACUGCUUUUAUGCGGGGAUAAAGUAGGGACGUGUCCUUCAUUGCAGGUACCGCAAAUAAG
rnacentral:rRNA from 1 species